UACGUAGGGCGCAAGCGUUGUCCGGAAUUAUUGGGCGUAAAGAGCUCGUAGGUGGUUUGUCGCGUCUGUCGUGAAAGCCCAUGGCUUAACUGUGGGUCUGCGGUGGAUACGGGCAGGCUAGAGGCAGGUAGGGGCGAACGGAAUUCCCGGUGUAGCGGUGAAAUGCGUAGAUAUUGGGAAGAACACCUGAGGCGAAGGCGGGUUGCUGGGCCGACACUGACGCUGAGUGCGCGAAAGCCAGGGGAGCGAACGGG
rnacentral:rRNA from 1 species